UUGUAGCUAAUACACCCUAGCGGUUUAUAAAGAAUGUAGCUAGUCUCAUUCCUUCUACAUACACAGUAUUCUCUCUUGAACGGAGUUCCUCGCGUUUCCCAGCUAUAGCCUGCCUAGCCUAUAUGCAUGUGCCCGAAAUCAACCAAGGUCAGAGACAUGUAUCUGUGUCAGAACCUUCCAAUUGGAGAUAUGGUUCAGAACUACUUCAAAACAGCUUGAAAACUUUCUUUCACACGAGCCUUUCCGCUUGUGGUAAUGAGAGGUCGUGAGAGCAUCCUGGGGGAUUUUUUACAAGAAAAUCAAAAAUUCAACAAAAGAAACGUGUGAGAGCGGCAUAAAAUAUGUAAUUUUGUUGAAGAUAUGAAUUAUGCCACUGUAAAUUGUAUAUGUUUGUUAUUUUCUUCGGGUUGCAAAUAAUUGCCA